UACGGGGGGGGCGAAGCGUUGUUCGGAAUUACUGGGCGUAAAGGGCUCGUAGGCGGCCAACUAAGUCAGACGUGAAAUCCCUCGGCUUAACCGGGGAACUGCGUCUGAUACUGGAUGGCUUGAGUUCGGGAGAGGGAUGCGGAAUUCCAGGUGUAGCGGUGAAAUGCGUAGAUAUCUGGAGGAACACCGGUGGCGAAGGCGGCAUCCUGGACCGAUACUGACGCUGAGGAGCGAAAGCCAGGGGAGCAAAGCGGG
rnacentral:rRNA from 1 species